rnacentral:lncRNA from 1 species
GCUUAGCUAACAGUUAAACUGAUCCAAGAAAUUUCAAUGACCAAAAUUAAUAUCUUUACUUUUGUAGAUGCAGUUCAGUAUCAUGGCUAUAGUUCUGGACUUGUAGUCAAGGAGGUUUGGACUGAAACCUGUCUCUGACACUUAUAAGACAGCACCUGUGGGAUCUCCAGUGGGAUAAACACUGGAGAGAAGGGGCAAGGGACCUCAGGCCCCCUCUGGGCCCCAGAUCCUCCUUCGCCCCCAGAGCCUUCUCCAUCCAAGUUCAGCUUCUGGACCCAUCGAAGCAGCCAACAAAGAAAGAUGAAAGAAGAGAGGAGAAAAAAGAAAGAGAGCCUGAACAGAGGACUCCGAUUCAAGCCUAAGAAAUCUUGCUUCAACGAUGGUUUGAAAGCAAAGAGGAACUCUCCUCCCUGGCCUUUAGGGAAG